CGUCCUGCGUGCCUCACCUCCGUCUGCGGUUGGAGAGAGGAGAUGGACUGGCAAAAUAUCUCGCGAGCCCACUUCCCGCAUCUCUAUCGCCCUAGCCGCCUCCACGCUCGUGCAUCCUCCCGCGUCAAUCGUGCCCAAACCUCCUCAUCUCGUAUCCCGUGGGACCGAGGUGCGGGCAUGGAGGCGAGCUUCCCUGGCGGCGGCGGCGACCUGCAGGCAAAGGGUGACGGCGGCGGCGGCGCUGGAUUAGAUCUGCGGGAGAGAGAGAGGAUGAGAGGGGGAGAUAAGGAAGAAGAUGAGAGGGAGAGAGAGAGAGAGAGAGAGAGAGAGGAAAGGGGAGAGGGAGGGCUUCUACGUCGCCGCUCUCUGGAUGCACGCCAUCCACCCGCGCACGCUCGCCGCCAACCUCGCCGGCUUCGCCAGGUUCGGCUGCCUCAAGAACCUCCCCGAGAUCCUCUAUCGUUUCCUCCACGGCCCCCGCGAUGAGCGCAAGGACUAGGACGACGUCGCUGCGGCGGCUCCGGGUGCAAGAGAGGCAAGCGACGCUGCGUCGGCGGCCUUGCCGCCGCCGCGGCUGAGGCCACCAAGGCCCGGCGCGAGAAGGAGGCGGAGCACGCGCAGGCCGUGCUCGCGCACAACGACUCUGACGAGGCCUUCUGCAACCUCUACGACGGCGUCGCCGACAUCUUCGCCGGGCUACUCAAGUCGGACCAGGAGCACCUGCACGCGGGCGACACGGAUCGUGUUCACCGCCAAGUGGUGCCCGUCGCUGCGCCUGUCGUACGACUGCGCGACGCUGCUCUGCGAGGCCAUCGCGCGCCGAGUCUUCCCGCGCGACUCGAGCCCCGAGUACCUCGCUAUCCCCGACAAUCAGUAUGCCUACCGCGUCCGCAACCGGCUCCACCGCGAGGUGCUGGUACCGCUCCGCAAGGUGCUCGAGCUCCCCGAGGUCUACAUGAGCGCCGGAAGUGGGACGAGCUGCCCUGCGCGCGCUUGGCGUCCACGGCCAUGCGCCGGUACAAGUGGCGUCCUGGCUGUUCUUCUUUCUUCUGGUUCUUGAUUAUCUAUGGCCUUCCAUGCAGGGCUUCUCUCUGAUAAACAAAGGAGAUGAUAUUGCAAUGUGCUAACCAGAUUAUUGCUGCACAUUUGUCUGUUUGAUGUCUUGGUUGUGGGAUCUGAAACACUAUGUAUUCAGAUCAACAUUACACAGGCAAGGAGCGAGAUGAUGCCAAGCAGUGGAAGAGAAUGGUAACCAAAGACAACUUUGUUGGUCCUUGAUCAUGGAUUUACAAGAAAGCCAACAGAGUAUGAAAAGGUUCUCAUGGGACUCACCCUGAACUGAAAUCUAUGUUCAACCUUGGUAUAAUUCUAUGACAAAAACCCCAGGUGGUCCAAUUUUUUCUUUCUUUCUUUCAUGUUUAUUGUUUUUGGUUUGUUAUAACCGAAUUUAUAGCCUACUAUUCGUGGGUUUCUUUUAUUCUGUUUUGGUGGGUUCUAAGCUAUGAAAUUAGGAACCAUAUAGUUUAUUAGUUUGAGACCUGCUUCAAGAUAAAGAAUGAAAUGAAGAAUUAUUAUUUCAUGAUGACACACAUGACUGUCAAACUGCAGAAAAUACUUGAUUUAUGUACUGUAUGAUUUCUGAGUUCCUUUCCUUUCUAGAUUUAUGUGGGGAGAACUCAUGAGCUUAUGAAUGAGUGAUUCGGAUUUGUCUAAUUGGGAACUAGCAAAUCAUGUAAAGUAAGGGUUUUUCUGCUCAUAUAGACUGGUUGGUCGAUGGCUUCUUGAUACAUCGUACCUUAAACAACGUAAUUUCUGAUUGAGGGGACCAGGUUGAUGCCCUGUUUGAUGUGAAUUUUCUGGGAUGUGCUGCCAUAUAUUUCCACCACUGUAUACAACAAUGAGUACAACAUUUAACAUGGGCAUGAUGUUAAAUUUGAGUGAAUCUAAGGGCCUACUGGCUGCAUAAUCUGUGGCUAUAUUUUUUAGACUUAUUUAUUUAUUUUUGUGUAUGCAAGGAGCAAUUCUACUAUCUCUUCAUGGUUUAGCGUUUAUAUAUUAGUUGGAUAGUAUCUCUUUAUUCUGUUGUUGUGACUGACUAGCUGCUUACUUAUAUGGACAACUUGAACUGAAAGCAAGAGUAGAAGCCCAUGAGAUGAGACACAAGGAAAAUAUGCAUGGUAUUUUUCAAUUCUAAUGUUUCAGUUCCACUCACCUACUUGACUGGCUAUGUGAUGUAUAUACUGAUUUCCUGCGACUGUUUGAGUUAUAACAGUUUUGCUCAUCUGGCAGAAAAUGGCACAUUCAUGAUUCAGUUUGGUUAGCAAGUGCCUAAAUACUCUGGAAAUGUGUUUGAAUCACACAAAAAGAGUUUGUAGUUCUUAUUCAUACUUGAAACAUGUGAGGCUCUGCAAAUUAAACCAUGUUUUUUUUCAA